rnacentral:rRNA from 1 species
AGAGUUUGAUCCUGGCUCAGGACGAACGCUGGCGGCGCGCCUAACACAUGCAAGUCGAACGGAGCUUAAAGAGCUUGCUUUUUAAGCUUAGUGGCGAACGGGUGAGUAACGCGUGAGUAACCUGCCCUGGAGUGGGGGACAACAGUUGGAAACGACUGCUAAUACCGCAUAAGCCCACGGCCCGGCAUCGGGCUGCGGGAAAAGGAUUUAUUCGCUUCAGGAUGGACUCGCGUCCAAUUAGCUAGUUGGUGAGGUAACGGCCCACCAAGGCGACGAUUGGUAGCCGGACUGAGAGGUUGAACGGCCACAUUGGGACUGAGACACGGCCCAGACUCCUACGGGAGGCAGCAGUGGGGGAUAUUGCACAAUGGGGGAAACCCUGAUGCAGCGACGCCGCGUGGAGGAAGAAGGUUUUCGGAUUGUAAACUCCUGUCGUUAGGGACGAUAAUGACGGUACCUAACAAGAAAGCACCGGCUAACUACGUGCCAGCAGCCGCGGUAAAACGUAGGGUGCAAGCGUUGUCCGGAAUUACUGGGUGUAAAGGGAGCGCAGGCGGACCGGCAAGUUGGAAGUGAAAACUAUGGGCUCAACCCAUAAAUUGCUUUCAAAACUGUUGGCCUUGAGUAGUGCAGAGGUAGGUGGAAUUCCCGGUGUAGCGGUGGAAUGCGUAGAUAUCGGGAGGAACACCAGUGGCGAAGGCGGCCUACUGGGCACCAACUGACGCUGAGGCUCGAAAGCAUGGGUAGCAAACAGGAUUAGAUACCCUGGUAGUCCAUGCCGUAAACGAUGAUUACUAGGUGUUGGAGGAUUGACCCCUUCAGUGCCGCAGUUAACACAAUAAGUAAUCCACCUGGGGAGUACGACCGCAAGGUUGAAACUCAAAGGAAUUGACGGGGGCC